AGAAAGUCUGAGACGUGUCUUGAGAAGCCAUGGGGAAUGCGUGUGGCGAGCUGCGUCAGCGUGUGGUCUUCGUCCAGCUGCUGCAUCACCCUGAGACUGAGUUGCUUCUCUGCGUGGUCCGCCCCCUUCAUUUGAAGUGAAGGUACGUAUAUCUGAACAUUCAACGCAAGCCUGCAACACCAGAUUGAAGGACGAUGAAUGUUCAGAUAUUCAUCAUUCUAUUAAAGCAUCUCGAUCUGGGACAGAUGAUGAACCUGCACCUGUAUACUCCGUAUCCAACCCAUAUGGAACAGGACAUUGUCGAUGGUCCAUGUCAGUAAUCAGAUGACGAAACAAGCUGAAUGGAGGAACGAGCACACGCUUACAGCUCCAUGCUGGCGCCGCCGGCCGUGUGUGAAGUGAAC
rnacentral:lncRNA from 1 species